rnacentral:sRNA from 1 species
UUUUAGCCCCGAUAGCAGUGGAAAUCCUUUUGUUUUUUUCUUAAAAAACAAAAGAUUGUAACGGAUUGCUUCGCCAAUU